GGCCGCCUUCGCCACCGGUGUUCCUCCAGAUCUCUACGCAUUUCACCGCUACACCUGUUAUUCUACCCCCCUCUACCUUACUCUAGAUGGACAGUUUUAAAUGCAAUUCCCAGGUUGAGCCCGGGGAUUUCACAUCUGACUUAUCCAACCGCCUGCGUGCGCUUUACACCCAGUAAUUCCGAUUAACGCUUGCACCCUCCGUAUUACCGCGGCUGCUGGCACGGAGUUAGCCGGUGCUUCUUCUGC
rnacentral:rRNA from 1 species